rnacentral:lncRNA from 1 species
GUAGUACUAAGAGGAAAUUGUGGCGGAGUGACUGUGAUGGGGCGGAACCAAAAAUGAGGAAGAUUAGUUCCGCCCGGACCAUAUAUCGCAAACACCGCCACUUCCGGGAAAGCCGGCGAACACAAAUCGGCGUGCUAUUGGGAACGGGUGUCUUGUUGAGCGUGGCGAUCACUGAUUGGGCAAUUUGGUGAAGAGGAGACACAUAAAUAGGGCACACAGGAAGGGCCUGGUGAUUCCCAGUAGUUACUGUGGGCGCAACGGAGCGGAGGAGAGAGUUGGAGAGAGAGUGUAUGGUGUACUGCGGAGCUUGGGCAAAGAGAGAUACACAUACAGGGCUGAGUAUACGAAUAUCUUUAUUGGAGCAUUGUGUUCAGAUGCAUUGUGUGAUGUGAAGUUAACACACAUUGAAGAUCUGCUAGGAUUGCAGGAAGGAGAUCGUGCUGCCAGUUGUGUCGGAUGUCGGUUAUCUGGAAGAGAAGUGGAGAGAUCCAGUGUUAAUGAAAGUGUGAGUACACUGAAAUAUUCAUCGAGUCAACAGGUGUGGCGGAGUGACUGUGAUGGGGCGGAACCAAAAAUGAGGAAGAUUAGUCCGCCCGGACCAUAUAUCGCAAACACCGCCACUUCCGGGAACGCCGGCGAACACAAAUCGGCGUGUUAUUGGGAACGGGUGUCUUGUUGAGCGUGGCGAUCACUGAUUGGGCAAUUUGGUGAAGAGGAGACACAUAAAUAGGGCAUCAGAAACACAGGAAGUGCCUGAUGAUUCCCAGUAGUUACUGUGGGUGCAACGGAGCGGAGGAGAGAGUUGGAGAGAGAGUGUAUGGUGUACUGCGGAGCUUGGGCAAAGAGAGAUACACAUACAGGGCUGAGUAUACGAAUAUCUUUAUUGGAGCAUUGUGUUCAGAUGCAUUGUGUGAUGUGAAGUUAACACACAUUGAAGAUCUGCUAGGAUUGCAGGAAGGAGAUCGUGCUGCCAGUUUUGUCGGUUAUCUGGAAGAGAAGUGGAGAGAUCCAGUGUUAAUGAAAGUGUGAGUACACUGAAAUAUUCAUCGAGUCAACAGUUAUUUUGCAAGUGUGGAAUAUCCAUAUAUCCCUUGUGAGUUGUGACCAGUGUGAGCGGCCCCACCGUAAUAGGAUUGGUGGGUGAGCCGGAACCAGCGAAAAAGGAGUCUGGUGCCUUGUCGUGGCUGUGACGUUCCCUCUGGCCGUCUGCUGCAUCGGUGCCCCCAACGUCCAGGAACUAAUCCCCGGUCCUAUGUGGUUUUGACCCUAAUUCACUGUGAGUGUGUGGAGUGUAGUGGGCGAGUCCUUUUCUUUGCUGUGUGUAUACUUGAAGUCUGCAGUGUCGUGCUGUGUCAUGUUGUCAGUCAUCACCCUCUAGGCUGGGAGAGAAAACCCUGUGGAGAAGAACGUGCACCGGUGUUGUGAGACGACCAUCUUUUAUAUACAUGCCCGCUCGCGGCUUUGGACCCCUACUCCGCCGAGUGGCGACGUGCCAACAAUAGCAAGUAAGGAACAGUGUGCAUAUUGUGGGGGACGACGACUGAGAGAAGUGAGGGCUGCUAUAUGAACAUCCAGCUGUGUAGCCCUUGUGUAUGAAUACCUGUUUGGGGAGUACUUUCAGAGGUUCGCCCCUGUCUAGAUCUCUGGUCCGUUGUUUGGAAGAGAGGAGAGGGAAGCAUUCGAGUCAUUCCUGAGGUACAGACCCGGUGGCACAAACCUACCUGAAGUCACCCAGCGUGGUGGCACCAGCUGAGGCCGUGGAAGGCCCAACGUGCAGCGACUUCAAUCUGUACUUCUAUCCACUCUUGGUCAAAUUCGAGAGGUGGUGUGUCUUUCUCCAUAUAUUCACUGAAGCUAAGUAAAUUUGUGAAGGAACUCUGUCUGUCUGUUACUAGUCCUACAGGUCUGAGCUUGAGGCUCUGAGUCGUCGUGGGAGUGUUUCCACGGUUGGAGGUGACCGUGUUGAGUGUUGGUCUGGGAAGUCUGCCCUGGUGAAGAAGACCACAGUUGUCGUGACAUAUACACCUUCUCUAGACUCCCGAGCUGAAAAGGGCUAAAGCCUGACGUCCACCUCUUCGAGGGUCUGUGAGUUGUAUCCAUUCAGUAUUGUCAUUGUAUAUCCACCUGCAUGCCCAGAGCAAAGCUCCAGUUGCCCCUGUAUGCCCAUCUGUACGCCUCAAGCUAAGAGCCAGCGUAUUGCCCUUGUAUACUUACCUGUAUGCCCAAAGUCAAGCUCCAGUUGCCCCUGUAUACCCCUCUGUACGCCUCAAGCUAAGAGCUAGCGUAUUGUCCUUGUAUACUUACUUGUAUGCUCAGAGUCAAGCUCUAGUUGCCCUUGUAUACUCACCUGUACGUCCAAAGUAAAGACCCAGUUGUCCUUCUGCAUACUUACCUGUACGCCCCGAGUGAAAUACCAGUGCAUCGCCCUUGCAUAUAUUCACCUGCAUACUUACCUGUGGACCUUUUAGGCAUUUCCAACCAUGGAUGCCCUUGUAUACUUACCUGUAUGCCCAAAGUCAAGCUCCAGUUGCCCCUGUAUAUCCCUCUGUACGCCUCAAGCUAAGAGCUAGCGUAUUGUCCUUGUAUACUUACUUGUAUGCUCAGAGUCAAGCUCUAGUUGCCCUUGUAUACUCACCUGUACGUCCAAAGUAAAGACCCAGUUGUCCUUCUGCAUACUUACCUGUACGCCCCGAGUGAAAUACCAGUGCAUCGCCCUUGCAUAUAUUCACCUGCAUACUUACCUGUGGACCUUUUAGGCAUUUCCAACCGUGGACCCAGAAUCUCGUGGCGAACGGCGUCAGGUACGCACCUCACCCAAUUCAUCAGAAUUACUUACCUUCUUUACUCUGCGUGCAGGGACUGGAAGGGCCCCACUGACGGUUCUCCUGCAGGAGAAACACAAAGGCACUACUGCGAAAAACCCUGUUGAGUCACGUGAAGGAAAGGACACAAAUUACCUACAGGUUUACCUGAGAGUCCCCGUGACAGAGUCAGAAGCGACUCGGACCUAUACUCUCUGGCCCCGAGAGUGGAUUUUAGAUUCCCUUUUCCCUUCCCUGCACACCUUUUAAAUAAUUUAAAUAAAGUCUGUUUAAUUACACUCCCUCUCUCUCGUGUGUCUGGUCAUUGGGGUGUUCUUGGGACCUCCUCGAGGUGGAAACUAGGGAGGGGCGAGACUCAC